AACGAACGCUGGCGGCAUGCCUAACACAUGCAAGUCGAACGAGACCUCCGGGUCCUGUGGCGCACGGGUGUGUAACGCGUGGGAACUUUCCCUCAGGGUUGGAAUAACUCUCCGAAAGGGGUGCUAAUACCGGACAAUGUCUUCUGACCAAAGAUAUAUCGCGCUUGGUUGGGCCCGCGUUGGAUUAGCUUGUUGGUAGGGUAAAAGCCUACUACGGCGACGAUCCAUAGCUGGUCUGAGAGGAUGGUCAGCGACACUGAGACUAGGACACGGCCCAGACUCUUACGGAAGGGAGGAGAGCGGGAUAUAGGACAAUGGGGGGAGGCAUGAACCUGCAAGGCCGGGAGAGUGAUGAAGGCCGUAGAGAUGUAAAGCUCUUUUACCCGGGAUGGUAAUGACGGUACCGAGAGAAUAAGCCCCGGCUAACUCCGUG
rnacentral:rRNA from 1 species